rnacentral:tRNA from 1 species
GCCCCGGUGGCUCAGCGGUAGAGCAGCGGUUUCGUAAACCGCAGGUCGAGAGUUCGAAUCUCUCCCGGGGCU